ACACCAACCAAUGAAUGAGUAGUAUCACCCAGUUGAAGUCGCAACAAUGGUGAAUCACAACUUUAAUCCACCAGCUACAGCAGCCACACUGGAACUUGAUCGACGUCGACCCGGGAUUUUGGGACUAAAACUUCUGGUGACUGACAACCAGUUGUCUGGCUUCGGCUAAGUACAGGUCAAAAUACUUGUCAUAAAUAGCAAAUCUUGUAAACGGCAUCGUAUGGGAAGCUUCAAAGUUAAUAUCAAGUCUUAUGUAUGUACAUGAAAACUUAGACGAGUAUGCAUGGUUGUUGACACGUUACUACUCAUACCUGUUUUCUGAAGGUUGAAUUUUAAUUCAAGUACGCAAA